GAGAGUUCAGUUCGGUAGAACGUGGGUCUCCAAAACCCGAUGUCGUAGGUUCAAAUCCUACCAACUACU